UCACGAUACACAGAAACUGGAGUCAGCCAGGAGCCAAGAGGGUGGCAGGAUUUGAGGAGCAGGUUGUUUUGUCUGUGUCAGCAAACUAAAAACUGAACAAAACAUCAAAGUAACCAUUUCCCGUGAGCCUUCCCAUCCUGAAGAACCAAGGCAGGGGAAAGCAGCCAAGUUUAUUUCAAGGAAGAUGAUGCUCCUGAUCUUCCUCCUCUUCGUAUGCCAGGUAAGAUUUCAAGAUAGCAAUCUUUGAUGAGAUCCUGAAAACAUCACACCAGGAAGUGAUGCAAGAGUAUGUUGAUUUCUUCUUGACUGAGGAGUACCAUCACGUCUGUUGGAGAAUGGAAACCAGUG